CUGAAUAAACUUGGUGGGUUGUAGCUGACUCCUUAGGGGGUAUGUGCACACUCAUCAUAUUUAUCUAUCCACCUGUGCACAUUUUGUAGUCUCGAGGGGUAAAUGUGAAGCAGACUUGUUACUUACAAGUUUGUGGUAUCAUUCCUUUGAGUCUAUGUGUCUUUAUAAACUACAUAACCUGUCGCAGAAUGUAAUUUAUUGGGCCUCUGAGCCUAUAAAAACUUUAUA
rnacentral:misc_RNA from 1 species